AGUGAACGCUGGCGGCGUGCUUAACACAUGCAAGUCGAACGAGAACGGAUCAUAGCUUGCUAUAAUUGUCAGCUAAGUGGCGCACGGGUGAGUAAUGUAUAGGUAAUAUGCCUCUUACUAAGGGAUAACAAAUGGAAACGUUUGCUAAUACCUUAUACUCCUUAUUAACAGAAGUUAAUAAGGGAAAGAUUUAUUGGUAUGAGAUUAGCCUGUAUUGUAUCAGUUAGUUGGUGGGGUAAUGGCUUACCAAGACUAUGACACAUAACUGGUUUGAGAGGAUGAUCAGUCACACUGAAACUGAGACACGGUCCAGACUCCUACGGGAGGCAGCAGUGGGGAAUAUUGCACAAUGGACGGAAGUCUGAUGCAGCAACGCCGCGUGAGGGAUGACACAUUUCGGUGCGUAAACUCCUUUUAUAUGUGAAGAUAAUGACGGUAUUAUAUGAAUAAGCACCGGCUAACUCCGUGCCAGCCGCCGCCGUAA
rnacentral:rRNA from 1 species